rnacentral:lncRNA from 1 species
UUAGAGACUAGGUGUCAUCACGACUCCUUCGAAAGAAUUUUGGAUCGUAACAAAAAAUCCUCUGCUUGCUACAGACCUCGUGGCAUGACCCUCUAUAGCACGUUCCACCUCGUUGUAACCUUUGCGUCGCCAGCUCCAUCGCGAGGUAAAUUAUCGCGCCGCAUGCUCUAUAACGAUCUAGAUUGCUCGCGUCGCCCACUCUGUC